GCAAACUUGGUCAUUUAGAGGAAGUAAAAGUCGUAACAAGGUUUCCGUAGGUGAACCUGCGGAAGGAUCAUUCAUGUGAUUUUAAUACCACUACUUUUUGUUAACUAUUAGUUAAAAAGUGCCCACAGUUUUCUGUGUUUUUCUUUUGUUGGCUGCGUUUUCUUUCAUAUUCACUCUAUUUUCACAAAGCACUCUAAAUAAGUUCCCAACCAGAAAAUAGGAAAAGAAAUGAUAAAUGCUACCUUUAAAAUUUUACCUUUAAAACUUACUCCAAAACUUUUACCAUAAAAAACACCUGUAAAUUUAUUACAACUUUUAACGAUGGAUCCCUCGGCUCUCACUUCGAUGAAGAACGCAGC
rnacentral:misc_RNA from 1 species